GUGGUUGUAGCUCAGUGGUAGAGCACUUUUCUGGCAUAUGUGAGGCCCUAAGUUUGAUCCUUAGGACCAUA
rnacentral:tRNA from 1 species